rnacentral:rRNA from 1 species
GUGGGGAAUUUUGGACAAUGGGCGCAAGCCUGAUCCAGCAAUGCCGCGUGCAGGAAGAAGGCCUUCGGGUUGUAAACUGCUUUUGUACGGAACGAAACGGUCCGGGUUAAUACCCUGGGCUAAUGACGGUACCGUAAGAAUAAGCACCGGCUAACUACGUGCCAGCAGCCGCGGUAAUACGUAGGGUGCAAGCGUUAAUCGGAAUUACUGGGCGUAAAGCGUGCGCAGGCGGUUUUGUAAGACAGGCGUGAAAUCCCCGGGCUCAACCUGGGAAUUGCGCUUGGGACUGCAAGGCUGGAGUGCGGCAGAGGGGGAUGGAAUUCCGCGUGUAGCAGUGAAAUGCGUAGAUAUGCGGAGGAACACCGAUGGCGAAGGCAAUCCCCUGGGCCUGCACUGACGCUCAUGCACGAAAGCGUGGGGAGCAAACAGGAUUAGAAACCCUAGUAGUCC